UACAGAGGGUGCAAGCGUUGUCCGGAAUUACUGGGCGUAAAGGGAGCGUAGGCGGGUUAUCAAGUUGGAGGUGAAAGCCCAGGGCUCAACCUUGGAAUUGCCUUCAAAACUGAUAGCCUAGAGUAUGAUAGAGGUAAGUGGAACUCCGAGUGUAGAGGUGAAAUUCGUAGAUAUUCGGAAGAACACCAGUGGCGAAGGCGACUUACUGGAUCAUGACUGACGCUGAGGCUCGAAAGCGUGGGGAGCAAACAGG
rnacentral:rRNA from 1 species